UGGGGAAUUUUGGACAAUGGGCGAAAGCCUGAUCCAGCAAUGCCGCGUGUGUGAAGAAGGCCUUCGGGUUGUAAAGCACUUUUGUCCGGAAAGAAAUCCUUGGCUCUAAUACAGUCGGGGGAUGACGGUACCGGAAGAAUAAGCACCGGCUAACUACGUGCCAGCAGCCGCGGUAAUACGUAGGGUGCAAGCGUUAAUCGGAAUUACUGGGCGUAAAGCGUGCGCAGGCGGUUUGCUAAGACCGAUGUGAAAUCCCCGGGCUCAACCUGGGAACUGCAUUGGUGACUGGCAGGCUAGAGUAUGGCAGAGGGGGGUAGAAUUCCACGUGUAGCAGUGAAAUGCGUAGAGAUGUGGAGGAAUACCGAUGGCGAAGGCAGCCCCUGGGCCAAUACUGACGCUCAUGCACGAAAGCGUGGGGAGCAAACAGGAUUAGAUACCCUGGUAGUCCACGCCCUAAACGAUGUCAACUAGUUGUUGGGGAUUCAUUCCUUAGUAACGUAGCUAACGCGUGAAGUUGACCGCCUGGGGAGUACGGUCGCAAGAUUAAAACUUAAAGGAAUUGACGGGUCAUAGCUG
rnacentral:rRNA from 1 species